ncrna:unclassified sequences eL15-Euryarchaeota ribosomal protein leader
GCGGACCAGCAGAGUCCGCUGGGAUGUAGCCCAGCACGGGCUGAACCGUAAA